rnacentral:rRNA from 1 species
UACGUAGGUCUCGAGCGUUAUCCGGAAUUACUGGGCGUAAAGCGUCUGUAGCCGGAUAUAUAAGUCUGUCUUUAAAGACUCUGAUUCAAUUGGAGGAAAGGGAUAGAUACUGUAUAUCUAGAGAAUUUUGGGGGUUAGUGGAAUUUCCGGUGGAGCGGUGAAAUGCGUUGAUAUCGGAAGGAAUGCAGAAAGCGAAAGCAGUUAACUACAAAAUUUCUGACGGUCAGAGACGACAGCUUGGGGAGCAAACGGG